rnacentral:rRNA from 1 species
UACGGGGGGGGCAAGCGUUGUUCGGAAUUACUGGGCGUAAAGGGCUCGUAGGCGGCCAACUAAGUCAGACGUGAAAUCCCUCGGCUUAACCGGGGAACUGCAUCUGAUACUGGAUGGCUUGAGUUCGGGAGAGGGAUGCGGAAUUCCAGGUGUAGCGGUGAAAUGCGUAGAUAUCUGGAGGAACACCGGUGGCGAAGGCGGCCACCUGGACGGUAACUGACGCUGAGGCGCGAAAGCGUGGGUAGCAAACAGG